AUUGAACGCUGGCGGCAUGCCUUACACAUGCAAGUCGAACGGCAGCACGGGGGCAACCCUGGUGGCGAGUGGCGAACGGGUGAGUAACAUAUCGGAACAUACCCUAGAGUGGGGGAUAACGUAGCGAAAGUUACGCUAAUACCGCAUACGAUCUAAGGAUGAAAGUGGGGGAUCUUCGGACCUCAUGCUCAUGGAGUGGCCGAUAUCUGAUUAGCUAGUUGGUGAGGUAAAGGCUCACCAAGGCGACGAUCAGUAGCUGGUUUGAGAGAACGACCAGCCACACUGGAACUGAGACACGGUCCAGACUCCUACGGGAGGCAGCAGUGGGGAAUUUUGGGACAAUGGGGGCAACCCUGAUCCAGCAAUGCCGCGUGAGUGAAGAAGGCCUUCGGGUU
rnacentral:rRNA from 1 species